rnacentral:ncRNA from 1 species
CAUUGGUGAGAAUCCAAUGCCCCGAAAACCCAAGGUUUCCUCCGCAAGGUUCGUCCACGGAGGGUGAGUCAGGGCCUAAGAUCAGACUGAAAGGCGUAGUCGAUGGACAACAGGUCAAUAUUCCUGUACUAACCCUUGUUGGUACGGAGGGACGGAGGAGGCUAGGUUAGCCGAAAGAUGGUUAUAGGUUUAAGGACACAAGGUGACCCUGUGUGUGUGGUGCGCGCGCGGUAUGAACGUAGAUAAGCACAGUUUCUUUCAGCUGUCCAAUCCAGUUUUUAUUCACGAAAGUGAUUUCGAUGCCAGCUGCAUUGUCAGCCAAAUUUUGGAACUCGGACAAAACAUUAGCUG